GGGUCGGUAGCUCAGUUGGUUAGAGCAGCGGACUUUUAAUCCGUUGGUCGAGGGUUCGAGUCCCUCCCGACCCACCA
rnacentral:tRNA from 1 species